CCGUUCGGGGCGAGUAGAGUGGCGGAGGUGAGUAACGCGGUGGAAUCCUACCUAGAGGCGGGGACCAACCCGGGGAAACCCGGGCUAAUACCGCAUACGUCCUACGGGAGAAAGAGGGCCUCUGCUUGCACGCUCUCACUCCAGGAUGAGCCCACGUCCGAUUAGCUAGUUGGUAGGGUAAAGGCCUACCAAGGCCACGAUCGGUAGCUGGUCUGAGAGGAUGAUCAGCCACACUGGGACUGAGACACGGCCCAGACUCCUACGGGAGGCAGCAGUGGGGAAUAUUGGACAAUGGGCGCAAGCCUGAUCCAGCAAUGCCGCGUGUGUGAAGAAGGCCUGCGGGUUGUAAAGCACUUUCAGUGGGGAAGAACAGAUUCGGGUCAAUACCCCGGAGCCCUGACGUUACCCACAGAAGAAGCACCGGCUAACUCCGUG
rnacentral:rRNA from 1 species